UGGGGAAUAUUGCACAAUGGGCGCAAGCCUGAUGCAGCAACGCCGCGUGAGGGAUGACGGCCUUCGGGUUGUAAACCUCUUUUAGCAGGGAAGAAGCGAAAGUGACGGUACCUGCAGAAAAAGCACCGGCUAACUACGUGCCAGCAGCCGCGGUAAUACGUAGGGUGCAAGCGUUGUCCGGAAUUAUUGGGCGUAAAGAGCUCGUAGGCGGUCUGUCGCGUCUGCUGUGAAAUCCCGAGGCUCAACCUCGGGCCUGCAGUGGGUACGGGCAGACUAGAGUGCGGUAGGGGAGAAUGGAACUCCUGGUGUAGCGGUGGAAUGCGUAGAUAUCAGGAAGAACACCGAUGGCGAAGGCAGUUCUCUGGGCCGUAACUGACGCUGAGGAGCGAAAGCGUGGGGAGCGAACAGGAUUAGAUACCCUGGUAGUCCACGCCGUAAACGUUGGGCGCUAGAUGUGGGGACCAUUCCACGGUUUCCGUGUCGCAGCUAACGCAUU
rnacentral:rRNA from 1 species